rnacentral:rRNA from 1 species
GCCUGAUGGAGGGGGAUAACUACUGGAAACGGUAGCUAAUACCGCAUAAUGUCGCAAGACCAAAGAGGGGGACCUUCGGGCCUCUUGCCAUCGGAUGUGCCCAGAUGGGAUUAGCUUGUUGGUGGGGUAACGGCUCACCAAGGCGACGAUCCCUAGCUGGUCUGAGAGGAUGACCAGCCACACUGGAACUGAGACACGGUCCAGACUCCUACGGGAGGCAGCAGUGGGGAAUAUUGCACAAUGGGCGCAAGCCUGAUGCAGCCAUGCCGCGUGUAUGAAGAAGGCCUUCGGGUUGUAAAGUACUUUCAGCGGGGAGGAAGGGAGUAAAGUUAAUACCUUUGCUCAUUGACGUUACCCGCAGAAGAAGCACCGGCUAACUCCGUGCCAGCAGCCGCGGUAAUACGGAGGGUGCAAGCGUUAAUCGGAAUUACUGGGCGUAAAGCGCACGCAGGCGGUUUGUUAAGUCAGAUGUGAAAUCCCCGGGCUCAACCUGGGAACUGCAUCUGAUACUGGCAAGCUUGAGUCUCGUAGAGGGGGGUAG